rnacentral:misc_RNA from 1 species
CACACCUCAAGCUCUGCUUGGUAUUAGGCCCUCGUCCGCUCGGACGUGCCUGAAACUCAUCGGCGGCGUGGCCCUUGCUUCAAGCGUAGUAAAAGAAGCAUCUCUCGCUUUGGAAGUGGAGGCCUCGCCCGCCGGACGACCCCAAUCUUUUCUCAAA